CGCUUUCUAAAUCCAUGUACAGAUUUUGUUAGACACCGUGUCAUUAGGACUGAUAAGACUACCAAGAUAAGUGAAGCU
rfam:Schistosoma mattheei strain Denwood, Zambia genome assembly, scaffold: SMTD_contig0002101